ACAGCCGCCCUGCCUGCCUGUGCUCCUGGGAGGGUGGAGACGUGGAGACCCAAGCCUGCGAUUCCCCAACACGUGGGCCCUCGCUCCCCAGCCGAUGUCACUCCCCGGGGCCGACUCCUGAGACAUGACACUCCUGGGGUUGACAUCACUCCCGGCAGGAAGAAGGGGCUGACGUCACUCCCGGGGCCCACGUCACUGAGCGCUCUGUCUCUCCAUCCUGCUGCAUCCAGCGAGGACAGCAGAGUCCCCCGUGCAGAUCUACGGUUGCCGGUAACAGAAACAGACACUGACCGGCUUGAGCCCAACCCACGGUCUAAACGACUGGCCUCGGAUUUGUGGACAGGAUGUGGGCAGGUCACCGUGUCCAAGGAACACGGGAGAUCCAGGCUCAGGAGGAUCGGGAGUCAGGGCAGCCCAGGGAUCUCGGGGCCAGAGACCACCACUCGGCCUCUCCAGGGGAAGGGUCGUGCCACGGGUGUCCUCUCAGCCACCGCCCACCUUUGCACCUGCCCCGAGGCAGCCUCAGACUCUGGGGAGGGAAACGUGGUCAGCCUUGCUGGGACCCUGCAUGCGCCCCGGCCGGGCAAGGGCAGCAGCAAGAUGAGUUCCAGAAGCAAGCAGCCGUUGAGGGACGCUGCCUCAGCUGAUGAAGGCACCAGUGGGGGAGCUGAGCAGAUGGAAGCAUCAGCCGCCAGCUCGGCUCCCCCGCCUCCAAUUCCCUGCCUGAGCCCCUGCAGGUCCGAGGUGGAUAAGAGCGGGGCGUGUGGGCAGGAGGGAUGCAGGAGCCCAUGUGGCAGAGUGGGUGUCCACCCUGGGCGAGCCCAGACCUGCAGGGGGCCCUCCACCUCCGGCCCAGGCUGUUCAGUCUGGGGCCUUGACCCUGGUCCUGGGGAAAGUUUCCUUUUCCCACAGAGACUGGGUGGGGGGAGGCCGUGUUUGUCCCGAUUCUCAUCUAGCUGGGUCCUGCCCUGGCCCCACGUUAUUCCUAGUGAUUCACGGUGA
rnacentral:lncRNA from 1 species